UACGUAAGGUGCGAGCGUUGUCCGGAAUUAUUGGGCGUAAAGGGCUCGUAGGCGGUUUGUCGCGUCGGGAGUGAAAUCCACUGGCUUAACUGGUGGCUUGCUUUCGAUACGGGCAGACUGGAGGUAUGCAGGGGAGAACGGAAUUCCUGGUGUAGCGGUGAAAUGCGCAGAUAUCAGGAGGAACACCGGUGGCGAAGGCGGUUCUCUGGGCAUGUCCUGACGCUGAGGAGCGAAAGCGUGGGGAGCGAACAGG
rnacentral:rRNA from 1 species